ACUAGUGUGGUAAAAAUAUGUAUACUGAAAAUGGUGGUAAAUCUAGUGUUAAGAAGGAAAUCAUCGAUAAACAUAAUCGUGGUAUGCGUGUAGCAAACAUUGCUAAAUAUUAUAAUAAAUUAACGUCAACGAUUUGUACAAUAUUAAAGUAGAAAGAAGAAAUAAUGGGAUUGGAUACUGCUAAAGGGAUUACAAGAAUAUCGAAACAACGGUCACGAGUUUUGGAAGAUGUUGAAAAAUUGAUUUUACUGUGGAUAAAUGAGAAACAAUUAGCAGGUACUUCGGUAAAAAAGGAAGGUUUCAAGGCCAGCAGAGGAUGGUUCGAUAAUUUUAAAAAACGAAAUGGGAUUUGUACUGUUACGAAACACAGUGAAACUGUGAGUUUCAACUCUAAGGAAAACAAAACGUUCAUUGACGAGUUUCACCACUUACCACAGAAAGUUUUUAACUGCAACCGGACAGGACUUUUUUAGAAAAUGAUGCCUAAAAAGGUUUACUUUGUGGUAGAAGGGAAGACAAUGACUAUGAAAGACUGUAUUACUCUUUUGUUCUGUGCUAAUGCAAGCGGUGAUUUCAAAGUCAAACCCCUGCUAGUUUAUAAUUCUGAGAAUUCAUGAGCUUUCAAAAAAAUGUAAGGUACAGAAAAAUUAAUUAAACGUUAUAUGGAGAUGCAACAGUAAAGCUCGGAUCAGUCGUAUUUUAUUCGUUGAAUGGAUCAAUGAAGUCUUUGGUCCUACCGUGAAAAAAUAUUUAUCAGAAAAUAAUCUGCCACUCAAAGUUUUGUUAAUUAUGAACAAUGCACCUGGUCAUCGUCGUUUAGAUCUAAAGAACUAUUCACGAUUGUGAAUUGUCUCGAUAUCAUCGAUAAAGCCUGGAAUGGGGUCAUUAAGGGAAUCCUUAAUUCUGUUUGGAAAAAAUUGUGGUUCACUUGCGUUAUUGAAAAUAAUUUUGUUUAUGAACAGGAUUUGCCAGUUGUAGAUGAAAUUGUGUCUUUAGGAAAAACCAUGGGAUUGGAAGUAAAUGAGGAUGAUAUUCAAGAAUUGGUGAAAGAACAUGAACAGAAAUUGACCACAGACGAAUUGAUGGAUCUGCAACGUGAACAA